GAUGAACGCUGGCGGCGUGCCUAAUACAUGCCAGUCGAGCGAACAGAUGAGGAGCUCGCUCCUCUGACGUUAGCGGCGGACGGGUGAGUAACACGUGGAUAACCUACCUAUAAGACUGGGAUAACUUCGGGAAACCGGAGCUAAUACCGGAUAAUAUAUUGAACCGCAUGGUUCAAUAGUGAAAGACGGUUUUGCUGUCACUUAUAGAUGGAUCCGCGCCGCAUUAGCUAGUUGGUAAGGUAACGGCUUACCAAGGCAACGAUGCGUAGCCGACCUGAGAGGGUGAUCGGCCACACUGGAACUGAGACACGGUCCAGACUCCUACGGGAGGCAGCAGUAGGGAAUCUUCCGCAAUGGGCGAAAGCCUGACGGAGCAACGCCGCGUGAGUGAUGAAGGUCUUCGGAUCGUAAAACUCUGUUAUUAGGGAAGAACAAAUGUGUAAGUAACUAUGCACGUCUUGACGGUACCUAAUCAGAAAGCCACGGCUAACUACGUG
rnacentral:rRNA from 1 species